ensembl:snoRNA small nucleolar RNA, C/D box 100
GUUGUAUGCUAUGAUGAUAACUUGGCUCCCUCUACUGAAUGCUAUGAGGAGAAAAGCCUAAAUGUUACCCAAUACUUCCUGAGUUUACAGC